UUUUCGUUUUUGAACACAUAUGAAUAUAGCACUUUAAGCUGUGGUCUAUAUACUAUGCACCCGUUUAAAUUAUUUCACUAUUAAUUAUUCUCUAUUUUAUUUUAAUCCAUUUUAAGAUUGGACACAUGAAUCGGUAAGAGUACAUGUGUCAUUUGAUCGAUACUUUAAGAUUUGUAUAUCAUGGUUUUUACAAUAUUUUGACUAUCAUAUCGUUUUAUAGUAUUUUUAAUUCUUUUACAAUCUUGUAUGAGUCAUUGAAGCUUUAGGUAUGAUUUGUAAUUGAAAAGAGCUUUUGGAGAAUUUUGGAGCUUAGAUAGAUUUAAAAUUGAAAAACGUAGGUUGGUAUCAAAAAAAAGGUACUGGUUUCAGUCGAUAUUGUGAUUACAACCAACCAAAGAGUUUUUAUAACUUUCCAAAAAUUGUAAAAUUAGCCAAAAUUUUUUUUUUUUAAUUGCAAAGAACUCCAAUUUGCUUUUAUAUUCUAUUUUUGGAUUUUAAAAAAUUUCAACAUAUUUUUAUCAUACUUUGGAGCAAGAGAUUUUGUAGAAGGAAGUCAGAACUCAUACUUUUGAGAAAAGAUUUUGAGCUCCUUUAAUUCUUACUCUUUGUUUAAUACAACUGUUUUAGAUAAUGAUUUAUGUUUCUGCCAUUAUGUCUAAGUAAUUCACUUAUUAGAUUAGGUAUUCGUCAAGGGUUAUUGAUGAAUUGUUAGAUUAAUCAUACAAUUAGGAUAAUCUUGUUGUUCUUUAUUCAUAUCUUCAUACAAAUGUUGAAUUAGACACUUGGAACUUAAAUCCUAGAAUAAUUAAUAGAUUUAAAAGUACUAUUGAUUUCCUUACAUGAAUCUUGAAUGACAAAAAAAAUCUUUCUCUAAAAGAAUUAUGUUUAGGUAUUUUUUGGAGCUGAUCAUACUCAUACGUAACACUUGUUUGGAUUGAUUAGAUUUUCAUAGAAAUUUAGAAUUCUUGAUUUAGAAUAAAUGAAAGUAAUAUUUAUAAAAGAUCCAAAUUGGAAUUACUUUUAGUGAAAAUUUAGGUCAAAUUAAUCAGUGUUUGAUAAUGUAGUGUGAUGAUUAGAAAUAAAUUGAAGAUGCAUUUGUUUGAUUAACCAAUUUUGAGUUUUGUAUUAAACACUAAAUAAAAAAUGUGUGUAAGAGAGAACGAUUUGUGAUUUGACAAAAUUAUGGAAACUUCAUUUUUUUUUGUCAAUUAACCUGGUCAUAACCAUAAUUAGAAACAAACCCAACCAUAAAAGUCAUAAUCAAACCUCACAACCCCCAUAAUGAAGCCAAUUAAACUUAAUGUCUCUUUAAUCAACUUAUAAUCUAAAUGACUAAUCUUUUGAGCCUAAAACUUACAAUUUUUAGAAAUUUCCAGCAGAGCUCAUUUGUCCUCAUAGCUAAAUUGCUCCCCCAACUUCAUAAGUUGUGUUUCGUAGCUAAAUUGCUCUUCUGACAUUGAGCUCACUCUCUGUCUCUCCCCUCCUGUCCAGACACUAACUCUACUGUUAGAUUUGAAAAACACUAACUCUACUGUUAGAUUUGAAAAGAAGGUUAGACCGAGGGUAUUCUGAGAGUCUCAUCUCUCGAGCAGUUAUCCAUCUCAACCAUCAAACAAACUCAUCUCUCACAGGUUCAUCAUCAUCAUCAGAGGAAAUGCCCUCUGCAUCCAUAGCUUGUUGGCCAGAGGAGGAUCAUGGUUCCACCUCUCCCGAUUCUGACCCACUGAGGACAUGCCCGAUGGUAACAUAGUGAGGGUUCUAAACUUUCUGAAGAAAACGUCUCAAGAAAUUUUGAAAGCAAAACAAUAUAGUUACAACAUACGACUGAAAGGAGUUUGUACCUUGCACUCUUUAGAUCACGAUGACAAAAAUUAGAUGAAAAUAAAACAGAAUACAUGUUAGAAUCACUACAAAAAAAAGUCUACAUUGAUAACAGAUUGUUAUAGCACGUUUUACUAAAUUGCUAUCGUAGAUCAUUUAAAAUAUUCAUGUAUUAUAUAAUAGCGCUAGAUAAGCGCUACGAUAGAGUUUCAGUAAAAUAGCGCUUGAUAAAUGCUAUCAUAGAUAAAAUUAUUGAUUCCGCCAAUACUUAACGGAAAAUUAGAUUUAAGCGCCAAAGACAUUAUUUAAGCGGUUUCAGUAAUGCUAUCAAAGACAUAUAAUAGCAUUUUUCUAACGCUAAGAAAAAUUAUUUGAACCCCUAAACCCCAAACAAGAUUUUAAACCAUAAACAAAGUUUUAAACCCUAAACUCUAAAGACAACCCAUAAAACUCUAAUCUUUUCAUAUUAUAACUUCAAAUCUUAAAAUUAAACUCAAAAUUUUAUCUUCUUAAUCGUAAACUAUAAUUUCCUAAACACAAAUCUUUAAUCUUUAAUCAAAUUCUAUAUCUCAAAUCCUAACUUCAAACAUAAACUAUACAUUCAAUACUCUAAAUAUAAACUUCAAAUCUACACUAUUAAAAAUUUAACUACAAAUCUUAUCUAGUCUUCAAAUCUAUUAUCUUACAACUUUAAUCCAAAAUACUAAACUUUAACCCUAAACCUCGUAUUCCAAUAUCCAAACCUUAAAUCACAAAACUAACUUUACUCUUAAUCAUAGUUUUUUAUAAUCCAUAAAAUCUAAUUUUUAUAAACCAUAAAAUCUAAUUUUUAUAUAUAUAUAAUAUUUAAAUUUUUACAUGUUAGAUUAAAAUUAAAAUAAUCAUCUUUUUAUAUAUAAAAUUAAAAUUAAAAUAAACUAAAAAGUGAAUAUAAUCAUUAAUCUCCCCAUUUUUAAUAGUUAAUUCAUUAAAUGGCGGAUUGUAAUCUGAACCGUUGAUUAGAUCUCAUCUAAUGGUCUAGAUUGAUCCAUCUAUGCUUCUUCCUCUAUCUCCAUGCUUCAUCUCCAUUGGUCAAUAUUUCUCACACUUGGAUUGCUAUCUCCAUUGUUCAUUAUCUCUAAUCCAAAGGUGCACAGUCUUAGUCACUUUAUUUAUUUUUAAUGUACUUUUCUCAUCUUCUCUUCUCCUCUCGCCGACAGGUUUUUACUUUUCUUACUUCAACCCAUUUUCAACAAAUCGAAGAAGAAGAACUGUUGGAGAAGAACACGAUGGUCUCCCAUUGAGGAAACCCCGCCUCUGUCGCUGUUGUGAAGGAAGCACUGUGACUCAUCUCUACUCUGUGACGUCUCCCUCCUUCACGGCAAGCACUCAUCUCAAAUGUUUGCUCUUGCUGAAAUCAAUUUGUGGUUUGGUUGAUGACAGAGGAAGCUAGUGCCCUCGUCUUCUCCUCUCUGCUCCUCCAACAAGACGAAAGAGAAAGAAGCAAACAAGAAGAGACAUCACCGUAACUUGCUCAGAUCAGGUUGGCCAGAGAGGAUGAAGAAGAAUACGCCGUGUAGGUGGUUGAGGUGGUGAAGGAAGAUGAAGAAGCUUAAUGGACGUGGUGUUGAUGGCGGCUGAGUUAGAUUUUUUGUAGGGUUAGAUUUUUUUUUGUUUAUCUGGUUUAGUGUAAACCUAAACCAAUUUGUAACUGUAAACCAAUGUAAUUGUAAACCAAAAUUCAAUUUAUAAAAUACCAAUUUAUUA